rnacentral:tRNA from 1 species
GCCUCAGUGGCCAAGUGGUAAGGCGUCGGUCUCGUAAACCGAAGAUCGUGGGUUCGACCCCCAUCUGAGGCU